rnacentral:rRNA from 1 species
GGUUAAGCGACUAAGCGUACACGGUGGAUGCCCUGGCAGUCAGAGGCGAUGAAGGGCGUGCUAAUCUGCGAUAAGCGCCGGUAAGGUGAUAUGAACCGUUAUAACCGGCGAUACCCGAAUGGGGAAACCCAGUGUGAUUCGUCACACUAUCAUUAACUGAAUCCAUAGGUUAAUGAGGCGAACCGGGGGAACUGAAACAUCUAAGUACCCCGAGGAAAAGAAAUCAACCGAGAUUCCCCCAGUAGCGGCGAGCGAACGGGGAGGAGCCCAGAGCCUGAAUCAGCAUGUGUGUUAGUGGAAGCGUCUGGAAAGGCGCGCGAUACAGGGUGACAGCCCCGUACACAAAAGCGCAUGUGCUGUGAGCUCGAUGAGUAGGGCGGGACACGUGGUAUCCUGUCUGAAUAUGGGGGGACCAUCCUCCAAGGCUAAAUACUCCUGACUGACCGAUAGUGAACCAGUACCGUGAGGGAAAGGCGAAAAGAACCCCGGCGAGGGGAGUGAAAAAGAACCUGAAACCGUGUACGUACAAGCAGUGGGAGCACAGGUUUACCUGUGUGACUGCGUACCUUUUGUAUAAUGGGUCAGCGACUUAUAUUCUGUAGCAAGGUUAACCGAAUAGGGGAGCCGGAGGGAAACCGAGUCUUAACCGGGCGUUAAGUUGCAGGGUAUAGACCCGAAACCCGUGAUCUAGCCAUGGGCAGGUUGAAGGUUGGGUAACACUAACUGGAGGACCGAACCGACUAAUGUUGAAAAAUUAGCGGAUGACCUGUGGCUGGGGGUGAAAGGCCAAUCAAACCGGGAGAUAGCUGGUUCUCCCCGAAAGCUAUUUAGGUAGCGCCUCGUGAAUUCAUCUCCGGGGGUAGAGCACUGUUUCGGCUAGGGGGCCAUCCCGGCUUACCAACCCGAUGCAAACUGCGAAUACCGGAGAAUGUUAUCACGGGAGACACACGGCGGGUGCUAACGUCCGUCGUGAAGAGGGAAACAACCCAGACCGCCAGCUAAGGUCCCAAAGUCAUGGUUAAGUGGGAAACGAUGUGGGAAGGCCCAGACAGCCAGGAUGUUGGCUUAGAAGCAGCCAUCAUUUAAAGAAAGCGUAAUAGCUCACUGGUCGAGUCGGCCUGCGCGGAAGAUGUAACGGGGCUAAACCAUGCACCGAAGCUGCGGCAGCGAACGUAUCACUUAAAGCGAUUCAGCGGGUUACGAUUGACGGAGCGAAGCGACGUCAAAGCGUAUACAAAGUCGAGUCGGUUUAAGGAUACGUUCGUUGGGUAGGGGAGCGUUCUGUAAGCCUGCGAAGGUGGCCUGUGAGGGUUGCUGGAGGUAUCAGAAGUGCGAAUGCUGACAUAAGUAACGAUAAAGCGGGUGAAAAGCCCGCUCGCCGGAAGACCAAGGGUUCCUGUCCAACGUUAAUCGGGGCAGGGUGAGUCGACCCCUAAGGCGAGGCCGAAAGGCGUAGUCGAUGGGAAACGGGUUAAUAUUCCCGUACUUGGUGUUACUGCGAAGGGGGGACGGAGAAGGCUAUGUUGGCCGGGCGACGGUUGUCCCGGUUUAAGCGUGUAGGUGUGUGUUCCAGGUAAAUCCGGUUCACUUUAACACUGAGGCGUGAUGACGAGGCACUACGGUGCUGAAGUAACAAAUGCCCUGCUUCCAGGAAAAGCCUCUAAGCAUCAGGUAACAUCAAAUCGUACCCCAAACCGACACAGGUGGUCAGGUAGAGAAUACCAAGGCGCUUGAGAGAACUCGGGUGAAGGAACUAGGCAAAAUGGUGCCGUAACUUCGGGAGAAGGCACGCUGACACGUAGGUGAAGUGAUUUACUCACGGAGCUGAAGUCAGUCGAAGAUACCAGCUGGCUGCAACUGUUUAUUAAAAACACAGCACUGUGCAAACACGAAAGUGGACGUAUACGGUGUGACGCCUGCCCGGUGCCGGAAGGUUAAUUGAUGGGGUCAGCGCAAGCGAAGCUCCUGAUCGAAGCCCCGGUAAACGGCGGCCGUAACUAUAACGGUCCUAAGGUAGCGAAAUUCCUUGUCGGGUAAGUUCCGACCUGCACGAAUGGCGUAAUGAUGGCCAGGCUGUCUCCACCCGAGACUCAGUGAAAUUGAACUCGCUGUGAAGAUGCAGUGUACCCGCGGCAAGACGGAAAGACCCCGUGAACCUUUACUAUAGCUUGACACUGAACAUUGAGCCUUGAUGUGUAGGAUAGGUGGGAGGCUUUGAAGUGUGGACGCCAGUCUGCAUGGAGCCGACCUUGAAAUACCACCCUUUAAUGUUUGAUGUUCUAACGUGGACCCGUUACCCGGGUUGCGGACAGUGUCUGGUGGGUAGUUUGACUGGGGCGGUCUCCUCCUAAAGAGUAACGGAGGAGCACGAAGGUUGGCUAAUCCUGGUCGGACAUCAGGAGGUUAGUGCAAUGGCAUAAGCCAGCUUGACUGCGAGCGUGACGGCGCGAGCAGGUGCGAAAGCAGGUCAUAGUGAUCCGGUGGUUCUGAAUGGAAGGGCCAUCGCUCAACGGAUAAAAGGUACUCCGGGGAUAACAGGCUGAUACCGCCCAAGAGUUCAUAUCGACGGCGGUGUUUGGCACCUCGAUGUCGGCUCAUCACAUCCUGGGGCUGAAGCAGGUCCCAAGGGUAUGGCUGUUCGCCAUUUAAAGUGGUACGCGAGCUGGGUUUAGAACGUCGUGAGACAGUUCGGUCCCUAUCUGCCGUGGGCGCUGGAGAACUGAGGGGGGCUGCUCCUAGUACGAGAGGACCGGAGUGGACGCAUCACUGGUGUUCGGGUUGUCAUGCCAAUGGCACUGCCCGGUAGCUAAAUGCGGAAGAGAUAAGUGCUGAAAGCAUCUAAGCACGAAACUUGCCCCGAGAUGAGUUCUCCCUGAGACUUAGAGUCUCCUGAAGGAACGUUGAAGACGACGACGUUGAUAGGCCGGGUGUGUAAGCGCAGCGAUGCGUUGAGCUAACCGGUACUAAUGAACCGUGAGGCUUAACCUU